GUGAGCGGCAAAGCUCAAAUUUGAAAUCUAGCACCUUCGGUGUUCGAGUUGUAAUUUGAAGAUGGUAACCUUGGGUUUGGCUCUUGUCUAUGUUCCUUGGAACAGGACGUCAUAGAGGGUGAGAAUCCCGUCUGAUGAGAUGCCCAUUCCUAUGUAAGGUGCUAUCGAAGAGUCGAGUUGUUUGGGAAUGCAGCUCUAAGUGGGUGGUAAAUUCCAUCUAAAGCUAAAUAUUGGCGAGAGACCGAUAGCGAACAAGUACAGUGAUGGAAAGAUGAAAAGAACUUUGAAAAGAGAGUGAAAAAGUACGUGAAAUUGUUGAAAGGGAAGGGCAUUAGAUCAGACUUGGUGUUUUACGAUUAUCUUCUCUUCUUGAGUUGUGCACUCGUAUUUCACUGGGCCAGCAUCGAUUCGGAUGGCAAGAUAAUGGCAGUUGAAUGUGGCUUCACUUCGGUGGAGUGUUAUAGCUUCUGCUGAUAUUGCCUGUCUGGAUCGAGGGCUGCGUCUUUUGACUAGGAUGCUGGCGUAAUGAUCUAAUGCCGCCCGUCUUGA
rnacentral:rRNA from 1 species